AGAGUGGUGGAGCCACACGGAAUCCAUUACAGAGAGUGGAGUAGGACAGUGGCCAUUGUCGUGACUUGUUAGAGAGUUUGGGCCUGACAGCUGAAGCUCGACUGGAACAUCUGAUGGAGUAGAAUGACUCUCUGUCUCAGCAAUCCAGGAGAAGCUUGGAUGUUUUCAAAGUUGCUGACGAGUCCACUGUUGUCGGAUACCUUGGGUGCUGAUGCUACAGGUGGGAGUCAUCUGCUGUAGA
rnacentral:lncRNA from 1 species